ensembl:snRNA U6 U6 spliceosomal RNA
GUGCUUGCUUCAGCAGCACAUAAAGUAAAAUUGGAAUGAUACAGAGAAAAUUAGCACGGCCCCUGCACAGGAUGACACGCAAAUUCGUGAAGCGUUCCAUAUUUUU